CUCGCCGAGGAUAGGGAUUAUGGUCACCCGGAGGACAUGUCAUUCUUGGACGGACUUCUUAGACGCAUUUGUGCUGAUGUCGGAGGAGGUUUGUUGCUCUUCGAAGUUGACUUGAACGUUGGAGAUGGAAAACGGCACCUUGUUUGUUGUCAGCAGAGAACAAUUCAUCACAAACACCUCCUCAUGACUCUUGUUUGGAUUCCCCUUGAAGGGGGUAACAAUAUUCCAGACAAAUGAGACUUCCCAGGCCAAAGUCUUUCCACGGCCAGGAAGACAGUGAUGAGGUCUCUAAGGGACGUCGCGCUUUGGAGAAAAAAUGUCAUUCUAGAGGCGUGGUAAUGGACUGCAAACACUGCUGCUGAUGUCAGACCGCCGUCAAACUGAGCCGGCGUUAAUGAUAUCGUCAUCCCUGACGGCUCAAGGCGGUGAAUGGAAAGAGCCAGGACGGUGAGGAGAUGCUGCCGCUUGUUCCAUCGCCGCAGGUACGCACCAAGCGU